GGGAAGGUAGCUCAGCCUGAAGCUCGUGGCUAAGGAGAGCGCUACCCUGAAGAGGUAGUUGUCGUGGGUUCAAAUCCCACCCUUCCCACCA
rnacentral:tRNA from 1 species